CUCGGCUGAAUGAAGCCAAGAAACUUCUUCUUCCUCUUUCCUUCUCCAACUAAAUCUACUCAAUUCUCUUUUGGAAAAUUUCUCUCUCCAUCGAAAAAUAAAGAUUUAGCUUUGGAUUUCUUCAAGGUAAACUAUUAUUUCCGCCAAUGAAUUGACGGGAUUUAUUACUUGGAUUUCUUUUAUUUUCUAUAUUUCUUCGUGAAUUCUUAAUUAACAGAGUCUGAUGGUCAUUGUCGUUUGAAGAACGGAGUGUUGUGAUUGGCAGAAUUUUUUGUUGUAAUUUUCCUGCCCCAAGUCAUGGAUUCCUUUUUCUAUUUUUUUUUUGUGCUAUUGUGAUUCUUGAUUGAGUGAGAAUUAUUGUUGUGUUCCUGGAAAAUCUUUGUUUGUUAAUGGAGCGAAAAUUAUAAUGGCUGCCAAAGUAUGUAAAUUUAUCGAAUAGUUGAUAGACAUGUGAUAACCGACCGUUUUGAUAUUGACGGAUGCUCGAGGAGUGCAACGUCUCAGCUGAAAAAGUACAUAAGAAUAAUAAACACAAACUGGAUUCUUUCAUGAUUUCGCAUUUUUUUCUUCAUGUUUUUUCGAAUGAAAUUAAUUUUUGUAUAUGAUUUAGAUGGACAUGUUUCUUCUUUUAUGUGAUACUACAUUUGGAUUGAUCAAAUUAAUUUUUGUUAUAUAUAUCAUCUGUUAUUUUAGCUGAAAAAUGAAGGAAGCAAAAGAGAAGGAAAGACAUGGAUAUGUUCAAGGCUGUUGAGGCUUACCUUCACACAAGUCUGAUGCUUGAAAGCUCAAUACGUAAAGCUAUAUAUAUUGUUGUAUCUUGAUUUGUUGUUCAUUUUAAGUUUAGCAUUUAGCCUUUUAGGGUGUGAGUUGUAAGCAGUUGUGAUUUUCUAUUCAAAUAAAAAAGUGUUUCUUAAUUUGUAUCUUGCUGGUCUUGUGUGCUGGCGUGCUCAAAGCAUAAUAAUUUCAUUA